rnacentral:miRNA from 1 species
UUGAUGGACUGAAUGGCCU